rnacentral:rRNA from 1 species
CCCUUAGAUGUUCUGGGCCGCACGCGUGCUACACUGAGUGGAUCAGCGGGUCAGGUUACGCGAGAGCGUUUCCUAAUCUUCAAAUCCGCUCGUGAUGGGGAUUGACGGUUGCAAUUUUCCGUCAUGAACGAGGAAUACCUUGUAAGCGCGAGUCAUCAUCCCGCGCUGAAUACGUCCCUGCCCUUUGUACACACCGCCCGUCGCUCCUACCGAUUGAGUGGUCCGGUGAGGCUUUGGGAUCUAAGCGAAAAGAGCGUUUCGCUCCUUUUGCUGGGAGAACUCAGUCGAACCUUAUCAUUUAGAGGAAGGAGAAGUCGUAACA